AAGUCGUAACAAGGUAACCGUAGGUGAACCUGCGGUUGGAUCAUUACUAAAUGAUACUCUUUUUUAUGCUACAGGGGCCCUAAACAAGCCUUUGUAGUAUAAAAAAACACCAUGUGAACCUUUUUCUGUACUUUCUGUUUUUCUCUUUUGCCUAGAUGUUCGGUGUGUAUGUUUCGGCAUAUGCAUACGGUCGGGCAAAAGGAAGCAGAAACUAUAUAUAAACCACUGUCUAUUGAUACUAGUCUUAAUACUUUUUUCUAUAAUGAAAAAACAACUUUUGACAACGGAUCUCUAGGCUCUC
rnacentral:misc_RNA from 1 species